CUUGGAGAAGAGACCUGAGAGCAGCCUUUCAGUAUCUAAAGGGGGGCUGUAGGAAAGAAGAGGACAGACUCUUUAGCGGGGCCUGUGGUGACAGGACAAGGGGAAAUGGUUUCAAACUAAAAAGGGGAGAUUUAGGCUGAAUAUGAGGAAAAAGCUUUUUCUUUGACAAGGGUGGCGAAGCACUGGAAUAGGUUUUCCAGAGAAGUGGUGGAUGCCCUAUCCUUGGAAACACUCAAGGUCAGUCUGGACGGGGCUCUGAGCACCUAUCUAGUGGUUUAUGUCCCUGCUCAGUGCAGGAGAGUUGGACCAGAUGGCCAUUAAAGGUCCCUUCCAACUCAAACAGUUCUAUGAUUUUAUAUUUACAAACUUUAUAUUCAAAUAACAGCCAAGUACUUUAGUACAAUCUACUAAAGAUAAACUCUUCAAAAUAAGCAUGUCUGUGAGUUGUGGAGCUCUCAACUUCUGGUGCUAGUUUUUACAGAAACUUGUAAUGCAAGAACAUUUCAUGGCAAGUUGGUGAAUGCAGUACUCCACUAUUUCAAAGUAGAUUAGAUGAACUGAAUAAUUAUUGGCUGGUUAGCCUAUGAUCAAUAAGUCUUCUCCACAGAAACUGCCAUUUUUAAUAGACCUCUUGUCCUCAGAGUUCUCUCUGAUUCUAGAGGAAACAUAGCUGAAACAGUGUUACUUGUGGAAAACUGAAAGUAGCAUCCCCUGACCUGGCAAAUAACCAUGCUAACAGGCCUUGAGGUUUCUGUGAAUGUAGCAAAUCUGGAGCAUAUAUACAGGAGCAUGGUAGCAUUUAACAUUUGUUUCAUUUAGGACAAAAUGGCUGAAAGCAGUAAGGAAGUACAGCCUUGGAUCACUUGUCUAAUUUUUUUUUUCUUUUCUUGUUCUGAGGAAUAUUACAAAAUAGAAAUCAUUUAUUGCUUUACAAUACAUUUCAGAAAGUAACUGUGAUCAAAUAGCCUGUCAGUAUCCCCAAAAUCCCAAGAGAAAUACUGAGGUUGGAUCUGAAUCCUUCCAAUUUUAAGUCUUAAUUGUCUUUUUUAAAACUUCAGAAGCUGUUAGAAUAUAAAAACAUACUUAGCUUUCCUCAAGCUAGGGAUUUGUUUCCUCCCAAAAUGGCUAAUUAGUUAAGAUAAAUGUCUUCCACAGGGAGCUCUUUGCUUCAUCUAAACCAUCUUGUCUCUAUUGCAUACAUUCUCAAACUAUACAUCAUCGGUUUUGUUUCCCAUAUGCUCAUUGUUUCCUGUUGUAACACUAUAACUAGGCUGUGGAACAGUUCUAAAAUCACAGCUUUCCAAGUGGCUGACAGUGAUAUCCUACUUGUUUUAUCACUACUCCCACAUAAAAAUCCAGCAAUAUCAUUUCCAGGAACACUUCAUUUUUGUUAUAGUUCUUAGUCUGAGGAAUCUGUGUCAUUAUUAUUUAUAAUGCUUAAAAAUCUACAUGUCAUUUCAUGGACGUGCACGACAUAUUGCCUGUGUCUAUGCAGGACUGUGCCCCAGGAAGUAGGCAAUUCUCAGUGUGUCACUUGCCAGUCUUUGACACCUGUUAUGUCUGUGCAAGCCUCAAAAGUAGUCCUUCAUCUAGUUUGUCAACCAGUCCCAGCACAGCUUCAUGUGAUUACCUACCCCAUUGAAUUGUCUUCCGUGUCACAUAGAUAGGAUGAGCAGUGUGGUAGAAAACCUGUCUGGAUCAAACCCGUUUGCACUUUAAAUGCAAAAGCUGCAACUUGCUUGUUGAGUGUGAACUUGAAGAGAUGUAAGGCAUGUUCGAGUUUCUUUUGGGCUUGAACUCACAUGUAUGUUACAGUCUACACUUUUUCAUUUAAUUAUAUUCUGAACUGGCAUAUCUGUUGAUGAAAGGUAACGCUCAGUGAUUAACCUCAGAAGAUGACCUGGACUGUGUUUAAGCUCAGAUGUUGUAUUAGCCAAUUACAGUUGCAACUGGAGUCAUGGAAGUGAAGAUACUCACAAAUUACACCUCACAGACAGUUAGACCUCACAGCAGCUCAUCACAUCAGGGCCACAUUUAGCGUAGAUGUACUGCAGAAGAUGCUGAGCACUCUGCACAGCCACUGACAUUAUUUGGCAGCAGUAUCACAGAGCCAUUGACAAAAGAGCAGAGUAUUAACAUUCCAUAUUAAAGUAUCCUAUUCCCUAAAACAUUGCAGUCUUUCCUAUUGAACUUCAAAAGAGUACAAGAGUUCAUACUGUAAAAAUUAAGAGAUUUUCAUCAGCAAUUAUUUCUCAAUGUGCUGUGCCCCCCCCC
rnacentral:lncRNA from 1 species